rnacentral:lncRNA from 10 species
GUAAAAAGCGAGGACGUGACCGUUUUGGAAGCAUUGUUCUUUUCACUGUUAGUGAGGAGCGGUCAAGGAUGCGUAUUAAGAAAGAUCUUAUUCACUGAUUUGAAGAGUUCAUGCAUCGAGCCAGUAGGCUGUGCACAUGGGUAAAAACUGGCUGCGGCUAAACAGGCCUCAUCGGAGCACAAAGUUCCAAGUGACUUCAAAGGGUUUUCUGUACUUGGAGCAGCUCUAUGGGACAUGGAAGAUGAGAAAUGAACCGACACCAGAGGUGCAAUGAAAGGUAAAACUCAUAGCAUCACCACAGCUCUUAGGGCUGGUGAAUUACCAGAUCUCCGUCAAGUGCAGUAACCAGUUCAAGUUGGAAGUGUGUCUUUUGAAUGCAGAAAACAAGGUCGUGGACAACCAGGC